ACUUCACUUACCAAAAUAUCCCUGACACAGGACCAUAUCCAACACUUGAAAAGUGCGUCAAAAAUUGUUUUAAGGCAAACAAUUCUACAGGUUCUGCUGAUAAAUUAACGAUGGUUUUAAAAUAGUUACAGUUCAGUAGUUAUAGUUCACAUCAAAUAUAAACGAUGAUUUUGCCGCGGAAGACGCAAAACAGAAGGGCGCAUGUGCAUCAAAAACCUAUCACCCCCUUAAAUGAACAUACUACACCCUUGCGCAUUAAAACCUCCAAAUUAGUUAGUUUCACGUCACCAACUUUAGGAUUCUAAAUAAUGUUUAGUAUCAAAGGUUAUGGCAUUUCAGCACUAUUUUGAAAUCCAAGAUUUGAAUCAAUUUAAUCAAGAUACACAUAACAAGUUCAUGAAGUUUCAAAAUCAGAAGUACCCAGGACAUAGUGAAAAACGUCUGUUCGAUAUCUCCAGCACGACCACAAUCCGUUCCAUGAGUCAGUCGGAUCCGGAAGACAGGACUGUAAAAGUACUCGCAGCGAACCGUACGAUUCUUCGUCGCAGCACAGCAACUCGUUGACCGAAAUGUGUCAACUGAUUCAGAUUGCAGGACGCAGGAGGAACUCGUCAUUAUGCCCGUUCUUGCCUUGCCUUUCCAACGAUUUCACAAGAACCUGCCUGCGUUUUCAUCCGACUAGAUUCUGCACCUCUUUGGCGUUCUACAAGCCACCGAUGUCGGUUCAGGUUCUGUAUGGGAGAGGGCGAGAAAAAGUUUGGAAAAAUUAGAUCAUCGAAGAACUACCAUUCUGGUCUGGAGGUUAGAUUGGAUAAUACAUGUUACUACAAAUUUCCUACCUGUUAUUAAAGUUUGUUGAUAGUGUUUUGAGAUGACAAUUGCCUUCAUCAGCUUGAAGAAGUUGCUAGUUUCAUUUCGAGUUCCUUAUUUUGGAAUUUCUUCGCCUGCAAUUCGCUGGAACUCUCAGUUUGCUCUUGAUUUCCGGGAGCCCGCCCGUGGCCAGGACAGGUCACCGGGGAAUCCCCACGAGUUCGAUGGUCGCAAGCAGAAUUCGCACUCGUCUAUCAGCACAGUGUCGUCGUCAAAAAAAAUCGUCAGCCCGCCGUUGUGGAUGUUCCUUUGGUGUUGACGCGCUAUUCUCGAGCGUUGUUUUUCGGGCGAGCAUUCCGACGGCCUUGGAAGUUCGUCUGUUUGUUUAGCCGCAGCACCGUCAUAGUCUUGAUGUAAAUAGACAAUGUGUAUCGUGGAGGUAAUUCUGUGAAGACCGGCCAGGUAAACAGCGGUUCAAUCAAAUUCUUAAACCCGUCGUCAAAUGUCUAGGAUAAAGACGCUCAACUUACCUGCACUCGACCCAGUUCUCGCUCCUUCCGGAAGGUACAAAAACAGACCAUCCUCUUUCGAUGGAAGUUGGAAACAAAACAAGUUUCCUCUUCCGCCACCGGGAAAAGUGGACCAUUAAGAUUCGUGGCCGUUCCGGGCCAGGAUGAACAAAUUUGCCGCAGCAAACACAUGUGCACGUUAAGUAAAAGUUUGUUUUUUGUUUUGACAUUUUUGACAGAUUUAUCAUCCUACCAAGAUAAUUCGAGAGGGUGGGAAUGCGCUAGUUGAUUAGUGUUACGCUAAUCAACUAACUGAUAAUUUGUAAUCAAUUAGCCGAAUAUUGUAGUUGAUUAGGGCAUGUGUCUUGCCCCACGAUGUCAUUAGGUGUGUACCUUUGUCCCUCUCUACUCUACCAAGUGUGUACACUCCCUCAAACAGAUCAUUUGCGCCAACAUUUGGCAUCAACAUAACUACUUUAACUGAGAGCAGUUUCAGAACUGGAUUAAACUUUGGCAUCGGUUCCGGCCUACUUUUUAGCAAUACCGCCAACAAAUCCUGUGGCCUUCGAAGAACCAGCCUGUUUCGAAACACUUCCACAUUAGGACCAGGAACGUACACUUGGUGGAAAGGUUGGCGGAAUCACUGACACCGUCUUCGAAGACGCUUAUGGUACAUUCGAUUGAAGGCUAGUUCCGCACUGAGUGCCGCACUCAGAGCUGUCAAGGUGUUUUUUUUUUGAAGAAACUCGCGCUAGUUUCGCACGAGUUUCACCGCCAUCUUGGAACCGCACUCGAUGCAGACUACAUGCUGAGCAAGGUUAUGUUCAACGCGAUGAAAAAAGCAUUCCGGGGUGCGUGCAUUGGAGUUGAUUUCAAUAAAUCCAUUCCUCGUCUGACGUACAUCCGUCAGUAGAACCGGUAACUUUCCAAUUGUUUACACAAAGAUUGAGAUUUUGUGGAUCCCAGGCUUUACCGCUCGAUAAUCGCCGUCAGGUCAAAUCACUGCCAGUCUAGGAGGGGAAGUGAAAUUAGGGACUACUUAUUUUAAACUCUGCCACUCAACGUACAGGUCCUUAAUUCCAUGGUACUUCGCAAAUAGGUGAUUGACCAGGAGCGAGCCCCAGGUUUCGACGAACCCAUGCUCUCCGCAAAUGCUGGCCCGGAUCGAUCGUAACAUCAUCCUCCCAGUUGAUUUCAGCUAGAAUGAACAAGUAGCCACUUGGUCAUGAAAGUGGUCAAAAAUAAUUCCUUGUAAAAUUUCAGGGCAUUUGAUAUGUAACAUGAUGAGGUUCGAACCAAUCCGCCAAAUGACCGCACCCGGGUUCACGGGAUCCGGCGGAAUCGGUUCCGGAGUGGACAAGUGGCCACGAGCAUCUUCCGUGCCAGCUGUCUGUCAACGAACUCUUCAAGCAGGUUCACGUGGGUCUCCUGAAGGAUGUACAUAACAAAAUUUGCAUGAUUUUUUAAAGUCGUAGGGGCGCCCCCAUUCAAUUUUUCAUAUCGAGAAUUUGCAUGAUUUUUUUAAUUCGUCGGGGCGCCUCCAGUCAAAUUUUUAUAUUGCAUAUUCUAUUGAAAAAAAAUAAGUCUUAGGGGCGCCUCCAGUUAAAUUUUCAUAAUUUUCAUAAAAAUGUUUUAGUCAUUAGGGCGCCUCCAGUCAAAUUUUUCAUUUCGAUUUGAAAAAAUCAAUCAAUUUUUCAAUACGAAUAUGCAAUAUAAAAAUUUGACUGGAGGCGCCCCUACGAAUUAAAAAAAUCAUGCAAAUUCUCGAUAUGAAAAAAUUGAUUGGAGGCGCCCUAAUGACUAAAACAUUUUUAUGAAAAUUAUGGAAUUUAACGCACCCCUAAGACUUUUUUUUUCAAUACGAAUAUGCAAUAUAAAAAUUUGACUGGAGGCGCCCCUACGACUUAAAAAAAUAAUGCUAAUUCUCGAUAUGAAAAAUUGAAUGGAGGCGCUCUACGACUUUAAAAAAAUCACACAAAUUUUGUUAUGAAAAUUUGACUGGAGGCGCCCUUAUGACUUAAAAAAAUCAUGCAAAUUCUCGAUAUGAAAAAUGGAAUGGAGGCGCCCUAAUGACGCACCCCUAAGACUUAUUUUUUUUUUAAUACGAAUAUGCAAUAUUAAAAUUUGACUGGAAGCGCCCUUAUAACUUAAAAAAAUCAUGCAAAUUCUCGAUAUGAGAAAUUUGACUGGAGGCGCCCUAAACACUAGAACAUUUCUGGACGCGCCCCUAAGACUUAAUUUUUUUUCAAUACGAAUAUGCAAUAUAAAAAUUUGACUGGAGGCGCCCCGACGACUUAAAAAAUUCAUGCAAAUUCUCGAUAUGAAAAAUUUAAUGGAGGCACCCCUACGACUUUAAAAAUCAUGCAAAUUUUGUUAUGAAAAUUUUACUGGAGGCGCCCUUAUGACUUAAAAAAAUCAUGCAAAUUCUCGAUAUGAAAAAUUGAAUGGAGGCGCCCUAAUGACUAAAUCAUUUUUAUGAAAAUUAUGAUAAUUUAACUGUAGACUUAGUUUUUUUUUUCAAUACGAAUAUGUAAUAUAAAAAUUUGACUGGAGGCGCCCCAACGUCUUAAAAAAAAUCAUGCAAAUUCUCGAUAUGAAAAAUUUGACUGGAGGCGCCCUAACGACUAAAACAUUUUUAUGAAAAUUAUGGAAAUUUAACUGGAGGCGCCCCGACGACUUAAAAAAAUCAUGCAAAUUCUCGAUAUGAAAAAUUUAAUGGAGGCGCCCCUACGACAUUAAAAAAAUCACACAAAUUUUGUUAUGAAAAUUUGACUGGUGGCGCCUUUAUAACUUAAAAAAAAUCAUGCAAAUUCUCGAUAUGAAAAAUUUGACUGGAGACGCCCUAAAUACUAAAACAUUUUUAUGAUAAUUAUGAAAAUUUAUCUGGACUUAUUUUUUUUCAAUACGAAUAUGCAAUAUAAAAAUUUGACUGGAGGCGCCCUUAUAACUUAAAAAAUCAUGCAAAUUCUCGAUAUGAAAAAUUUGACUGGAGGCGCCCUAACGACUAAAACAUUUUUACUAAAAUUUAACUGGAGGCGCCCCUAAGACUUAAUUUUUUUCAAUACGAAUAUGCAAUAUAAAAAUUUGACUGGAGACGCCCCUACGACUUAAAAAAAUCAUGCAAAUUCUCGAUAUGAAAAAUUGAAUGGAGGCGCCCCUACGACAUUAAAAAAAUCACACAAAUUUUGUUAUGAAAAUUUGACUGGAGGCGCCCUUAUAACUUAAAAAAAUCAUGCUAAUUCUCGAUAUGAAAAAUUUGACUGGAGGCGCCCUAAAUACUAAAACAUUUUUAUGAUAAUUAUGAAAAUUUAUCUGGACUUAUUUUUUUUUUUUCAAUAAAAAUAUGCAAUAUAAAAAUUUGACUAGAGGCGCCCCUACGACUUAAAAAAAUCAUGCAAAUUUUGUUAUGAAAAUUUGAAAGGAGGCGCCCUUAUGACUUAAAAAAAUCAUGCAAAUUCUCGAUAUGAAAAAUUGAGUAAAGGCGCUAAUGACUAAAACAUUUUUAUGAAAAUUAUGAAACUUUAACUGUAGGCGCCCCUAAGACUUAGUUUUUUUUUCAAUGUUUUUGUUUUUAUUUAUUGUUUAUUCGUCAAGCUUAUGUAGACUACUUACAAUUUUCUUACAUACUAGAUAUUAUUUCUAUUGUACAGAUUUUUUCGUAGUUCCGGUUUAGACAUGUCAAAAUGUAUGUACUGUGAAUUUUCAUUAUAAAAGCGCAUCAUUUGAUUUAAUGGCGAAUUUUUUAAAUUAUUUGUCGUGUAUGCAGUUAUUCUAAAAAGUGGUGAAUGUCUAAGAUUACGGCUUGGUUCAUGAAUACUACUUGUUUAUUAUUGUGUUAUAGUGUUCUACAAAAGUUAGUUGUGAGUCUAGGAUGACACCUAGAUCACGUACUACUUUGCAUUUUUCUACUGGUUGGUUUCCUAAUAAUACUGUUAUGUUUGGUGUUUCAUGUUUUCUGCUGAAGGCAAUGGAAUUACAUUUCUUUACAUUCAAUUGGAGUAGGCUUUUACUACACCAUGUGUAGAAAAGAUUAAUUUCGUUUUGGAAUACAUGACUGUCAUUGGCAUUUCCUAUUUCCAUAUACAAUUUCAUGUCGUCUGCAUAUACAAGUACGUUAAUUUUUUUAAGAAUGAAGGAAAUGUCGUUUACAUACAAGAUGAAAAGAAGAGGUCCUAGAUGGGAUCCUUGCGGAACCCCAGAGGUGACGUGAAUUGAUUCCGAUAGUACAUUUUGGAAGCGAACAAUUAGUUCGCGCUUAGUCAAAUAUGACUUAAGCCAUUCCAAAAGAUUCGGUUGAAUUCCAAUUUUCUGCAGUUUGAAGAUUAAUAAUGGUAUGUCUUUUUUUUAAAUUUAAUCCAUUUGAAAGAAAGGUUGAGUUGUAGAGAGUUUUUUUUAAAUUUAUAUUUAUUCAGAUAUUCUCUUCCAUGUACAUUCAUUCAGUUAAAAUAUUAUUGAGUGUCCAAUCACAAUCGAUGACUUUUCACCUCAAUUUUAAAUACUAGCAACUUUCAUUUAUUCAUGAAAUAUUGUAGCUUUCGCUAUUCAGUGAUUUCAAAUGUAGGAGGUCCUACAUGUACAAAAGGGAAAAGGGAUACCUUAAAACUAACUUAUAAACUAUAUAAAGAGCGGAUCAAUGCAGCUGAAGACUGCAAUGAUUUUUGUCGAAAUGCAUCAAUUAUCUUAUUGGACAUAACAUCCAAAGUGUCAACUUCGGCUAAUUGAUGAAGUUCACUGGUGCUGAACCAGGGAGGAAGUUUCAGAAU